rnacentral:rRNA from 1 species
GUAGUCAUAUGCUUGUCUCAAAGAUUAAGCCAUGCAUGUCUAAGUAUAAGCAAUUAUACCGCGAAACUGCGAAUGGCUCAUUAAAUCAGUUAUCGUUUAUUUGAUGGUACCUUACUACUUGGAUAACCGUGGUAAUUCUAGAGCUAAUACAUGCUGAAAACCCCGACUUCGGGAGGGGUGUAUUUAUUAGAUAAAAAACCAACGCCCUUCGGGGCUCUUUGGUGAUUCAUGAUAACUUCUCAGAUCGCAUGGCCUUGCGCCGGCGACGGUUCAUUCAAAUUUCUGCCCUAUCAACUUUCGAUGGUAAGGUAGUGGCUUACCAUGGUUUCAACGGGUAACGGGGAAU